GAUGAACGCUGGCGGCGUGCUUAACACAUGCAAGUCGAACGAUGAAGCCCAGCUUGCUGGGUGGAUUAGUGGCGAACGGGUGAGUAACACGUGAGUAACCUGCCCUUGACUCUGGGAUAAGCCUGGGAAACUGGGUCUAAUACUGGAUAUGACUUCUCAUCGCAUGGUGGGGGGUGGAAAGAUUUAUUGGUCUUGGAUGGACUCGCGGCCUAUCAGCUUGUUGGUGAGGUAAUGGCUCACCAAGGCGACGACGGGUAGCCGGCCUGAGAGGGUGACCGGCCCCACUGGGCCUGAGACACGGCCCAGACUCCUCCGGGAGGCAGCAGUGGGGAAUAUUGCACAAUGGGCGCAGGCCUGAUGCAGCGACGCCGCGUGGGGGAGGCCGGCCUUCGGGUUGAAAACCUCUUCAGUAGGGAAGAAGCGAGAGUGACGGUACCUGCAGAAGAAGCGCCGGCUAACUACGUG
rnacentral:rRNA from 1 species